AUUGAACGCUGGCGGCAGGCUUAACACAUGCAAGUCGAACGAGUGGCGGACGGGUGAGUAAUGCUUGGGAAACUGCCUGAUGGAGGGGGAUAACUACUGGAAACGGUAGCUAAUACCGCAUACCAUCGGAUGUGCCCAAAUGGGAUUAGCUAGUUGGUGGGGUAAAGGCUCACCAAGCCGACGAUCCCUAGCUGGUCUGAGAGGAUGACCAGCCACACUGGGACUGAGACACGGUCCAGACUCCUACGGGAGGCAGCAGUGGGGAAUAUUGCGCAAUGGGGGCAAGCCUGAUGCAGCCAUGCCGCGUGAAUGAAGAAGGCCUUCGGGUUGUAAAGCACUUUCAGCAAGGAGGCGUUAGUCACAGAAGAAGCACCGGCUAACUCCGUGCCAGCAGCCGCGGUAAUAC
rnacentral:rRNA from 1 species